AUUGAACGCUGGCGGCAUGCCUUACACAUGCAAGUCGAACGGUAACAGGUCUUCGGAUGCUGACGAGUGGCGAACGGGUGAGUAAUACAUCGGAACGUGCCCGAUCGUGGGGGAUAACGCAGCGAAAGCUGUGCUAAUACCGCAUACGAUCUACGGAUGAAAGCGGGGGAUCGCAAGACCUCGCGCGGACGGAGCGGCCGAUGGCAGAUUAGGUAGUUGGUGGGAUAAAAGCUUACCAAGCCGACGAUCUGUAGCUGGUCUGAGAGGACGACCAGCCACACUGGGACUGAGACACGGCCCAGACUCCUACGGGAGGCAGCAGUGGGGAAUUUUGGACAAUGGGCGCAAGCCUGAUCCAGCCAUGCCGCGUGCAGGAUGAAGGCCUUCGGUUGUAAACUGCUUUGUACGGAACGAAAGACUCUGGUUAAUACCUGGGUCCAUGACGGUACCGUAAGAAUAAGCACCGGCUAACUACGUGCCAGCAGCC
rnacentral:rRNA from 1 species